ensembl:lncRNA LINC02507 long intergenic non-protein coding RNA 2507
AGAACCCAGUUCCAUACAGAACGGAGCCUUAGGCAUCCAGCCGUUGGGGUGUGCCACUCAGAUCUCCUUUAAAGGAAGAAAUUGCCAUGAGGAAUGUAGUUAUCUGACAGCCUCCAGCUGCCUCAACUUUGAGGUCUUUCGCAGCAUUCACUCAAAGGCCACAUAGUCCUGGUCAAAGACUAAACAUGGCAAAGUUUCUAGAGCUGGUCCAUUCUUGCUCAUCAUAGGAUUCCUCUAAUGGGAAAUCUUUCCCCAAGGGUUCCGCAUUAGCCUAACCAAGACUUUCUCUGAGACUCUUAGUUAUUAUGAUGCUACUUCCACCAGCACCAGGGUUCUUGUUGCUAUCUGGCUGUUGAGUGAUUCAGUCCCACUGAGCAAUGUCAACCUGAUUGUCUUUCUUUGUUUUUAAGAAACAGGGUCUUGCUCUGCUGCCCAGGCUGGAGCACAGUAGUGUGAUCAUAGCUCACUACAGCCUUCAACUCCUGGGCCUUAGCAAUCCUCCUGCCUCAGCCUCCCAAGGAGCUAUGGCUGCAGGUAUCCGCCACCACUCAUUGACAGCCACUUCCAGUACUCACUGUCUUGGACACAGACUUGAGUAAAAGUACAGAAACAGGGCCGGUAGGACCAGAGGCUCCCCCUCCUGGGUCAGAUUAUGCAGUAAGGAGCUUCACAGAAUACGACUGGAAAUCCACAUACCCACUUUUCUGUUUAAUUCAGGAAGCAGUUGCUAAACACAACUAACAGAGCAAAGGGCAAGAGGCCUGGAUGAAGAAAUACCCUCAGAAACUCCCACUCUUCUGGUUCCUGCUGAAGACUCCAGUAAUAAAAGUUAUUCAUACCUACCUCCACCAUCUUGGCUGGGAAGUCAAGGAUACAGGAAGAAGAUAGCAGCCCGCAACCCGGAAGAGGGCCCUCACCAGAACCUACCAUGCUGGCACCCAGACCUCAGACUUCCAGCCUCCAGAAAUACACCAUCUGGCUCUGUCACCCAGGCUGGAGUGCAGUGGCCUGGUCACAGUUCACUGCAGCUUCGACUUCCCUGGCUCAAGUGAUCCUCCCUCCUCACCCUACAGGCAUGCACCACCGUGCCCAGAUUUGGGAAACUCAUCUGUUAUUCAUCUGCCUGGACGUUCUGCUGUGCGUUAUUAACCCUUUCUGUGGAGGUCUGAGGCAGCCUGAACACAGGCUGGCACUGGGCCAGGAUGGAGAAUGUGUGGACACUUCAGGAGGCUCAUUCCACACCAUCAAGAGGGCUUCCUUCCCUGAAAGCGACCUGGCAGGACCAUGCAGGUCAUAAGGUCAUACAGCCCUGAGGGGCACAAGGAUGCUGAUCCCAGACACUUCAGGCCUUAAUAAAAAUAAAAGCAAGCACA